rnacentral:rRNA from 1 species
GUACGCGAGCUGGGUUUAGAACGUCGUGAGACAGUUCGGUCCCUAUCUGCCGUGGGCGUUGGAUGAUUGAUUGGAGUUGUUCCUAGUACGAGAGGACCGGAAUGAACGAACCGCUGGUGUUCGGGUUGUCAUGCCAAUGGCACUGCCCGGUAGCUACGUUCGGAACGGAUAACCGCUGAAAGCAUCUAAGCGGGAAGCCGGCCAAGAGAUGAGUCAUCCCUUGUACCUUGAGUACACAUAAGGGUCGUUGGAGACCACAACGUUGAUAGGUGAGGUGUGGAAGCGUGGUGACACGUUAAGCUAACUCAUACUAAUUGCCCGAGAGGCUUAACCAUACAACGCCCAAGGUGUU